rnacentral:tRNA from 1 species
CAUAGUGUGGCAUUAUGGUUAGAGCAUUGGACUGUUAUUCUGCAGACGAGGGUUCAAAUCCCCACUAUGC